UACGUAGGUGACCAGCGUUGUCCGGAUUACUGGGCGUAAAGAGCGCGCAGGCGGUCGUUCAAGUCGAGUGUGAAAGCCCCCGGCUCAACUGGGGAGGGUCAUUCGAUACUGAUCGACUGGAAGGCAGGAGAGGGAAGCGGAAUUCCCGGUGUAGUGGUGAAAUGCGUAGAUAUCGGGAGGAACACCAGUGGCGAAGGCGGCUUCCUGGCCUGUUCUUGACGCUGAGGCGCGAAGCUA
rnacentral:rRNA from 1 species